rnacentral:lncRNA from 1 species
UGCCCUUUUGGUUAAAUCUGUACCAUUAGAAAUCAUGGAAUCUCCUUUUAUUUUUUUCAAUUCUUAAGUUCUUUGCUUCUUUAUCUGGAAUUUUUUUCUUUAGGUCUUGAUUAUAAUCUUAGACACUUUGUUGCUUGUCCUAUGGCCAUUUGAUGAAAAUCUACAGUUUUUAAUGGUGGAUUUUGAGAUUUGCUAUUUUCUUCCUAGAAUUAAACCUCUUCUUUUUUUUUUUUAUGCUAGACAUGAUUUGGUUUCUGAAUUUCUUGAAAAUUUAUAGUUGAAAAGAGAAAGGAUUCUCAGCUGUAUUUAGGGUUUGACAAAUUAGUGAUUUUGUUUUCAAAUAUUAUGGGAUAAGAACUAAACCAAAAUAAUUUUUAUAUGGAUAGUAAUCUUCAGUAAUCUACAAGACUUGCAGUCGGAGAAAUAACGAAGACAUUUUUAUUCUAUUUUGUUAUGUGAUUUUCUUUUAAUUGUAAAAGACUUAUUAUAAACAAUAAAGACUUUCUUACUAUAUAUAAUCUUUGUAAUUUGCAGCCACAAAAGUCUAUUUUUGGGGAGUUUGAAUCUUACUAUAUAAGUGUUCCAUUUACUCAUGAGCUCAACUUUUAGAGUAUAAAUUUUUUAAAAUAGAGUUUCAUUUAACAUUAGAAGUUUAUUCGUUCCUCUCAAUUUAAGCAAGGUGUUAAAAUUCAAUUACAUCUCCCUUCUUUUUUAAUUCAAGAGAAAAGCCAACUCUAAAACAACUCUAAGUCCACAUUAAAAAAAUUAGUUUCUAAAAACACCUCAACCAUUUACAAAUACCUUACCAAGAAUGAGAUACUUUAAUUGCUACCCAUUACUAAAGAAUCAUUAUAUGAAUGUUAGCUGAAUUUUGUAUUUCUUUUGAUUUUAUUUUCUCCAUUACUAUGGAUGAUUAAAUGUGUUGGCAUUUAACUAUUCAAUGAUGUGUAAAUACAUACAAGAUACAAGUACAACAUAUUUAAAAGAGAAAGAAGUGGCCUUCUCCACUUUUGCUAUGCUAAUAGUAGUAACUCAAAUAUCUAUUGGGUUUGUCACUUCUGAAUAUUUGGCCAUUUAGGAGAGAUGGAGCUUCUUGUUGUUUCAGUUCUUGAGAAUGUAAUUCAUGGCUUUGUAUAUGGUUCAUUUUUUUAAAUCCAAAGGUGUCAUGGUAAGUAAUUAGUAGCCUCUUCUUUUUGUUUUCAAGAAAAAAGAAAUACUUAGACUACAGUUUGAUUCGAAUUCAUAACAUCACAGUCCUAAAGCUUUUUAUAGGUGAUAAUCAACAGUUAAUAGUAAUUCUGGUGCCAAGCAUAAUAAACAUAUUAGUUUUAAUGCCUUAUGAAAAUUGUUUUAAAUUUAGUAUUACUUUGAGCUGACAAUUAUAAGCUUAUGCUAUCCUCUCUUUAUUACUCAGGGAUGGGAAGUGCCCUGGAGAAACUAUAUGGUCAAGCUAUUGGUGCUAGACAACUUAACAUGCUUGGAGUCUAUGCAAAAAUCUUGGAUUUUUUUUAUAUUUAAUUAAUUUAAUUUUGUUGAUUUAUUUAAUUUAUUUAAUUAGUUUAAUUAAAUUUAGUUAAUUUAAUUUAAUUAAUUAAUUUAUAUUCAAUAAUUAUGCAAGAAAGCUUUGAAUAGUGUCUAGCAGAGGUGGCUCGGAUGAAAACGGAUUUUUGUAUAUUCUCUUUGUGACUUGAGAUUUGUUUAUUUAUCGUUUUUAGUAUGUUUGAACUUGUUAAUAUUUUUGUACAUUACACAAUUUUAAUUUAAUUACAUUCCUCUUCUGUUCUGUUCUGUUAUUUUAUAAUUUAUAAUUUUAUUUACAAUUUUAUAUAACAGUAAUAUAUAUAACUUAAACGAUAUGCAAUAUAAUAUUAAUAAGACUAAAUAUAUAAAAAAAUCAAUAAAAAUUAAUUAAAGAAAUCAUAAUAUUAAUUUAGCUAUAAAAUGCUAAGUAGUCUUUGAUAUGGUAGAGAGACUACAAAUAAAUGGUAGC